rnacentral:lncRNA from 1 species
CCAAAUAAGAUAUCACUCAUAUAUAAAGAAAAUAUUUACACUGUCAGUAUGUACCCAAAAUAAAAUAAAUUGCCACGCAACUCCUUCUGGAUUCUUCCAAGCAAGAGUGUAUUUAUAACAAGAGAACACAAAAAGUGAAAGGUGGAAAUUCAUUUGGUGAAAACCAAAGUAUUUCCCCAGCAAAGAAAGUUAGCCCAGAAACGAAAUGAGGCAAAAACACUGAGUUUGGGAUUUUUAGUCAAAGGGCGGUUACCUCUCUGUUUAGCCAAUGAUUUUCCUUUUCAACUGUUUUUUUUUAAAACAAAAAUCAACAACCCUUGAACAAAUUGAAAUAUACUACUAUACGAUCAUUUCUUCAGGAUCAAUCAACAACAACAGCCAGAUCUCUCUUUCUCUGUCUCUGUUUCUGUGAUUUUAGUUCCUCUUUUUUGAUACAUUAACGAUUGAGGCAGUGAUGAUAUUUUAUCCGGAUUCUGGGCUAACUGGAUCGGGCAUAUCGACUAUCCGACCCGUAACUUGGCUUGGCAAAUCACCGGACGGUUAGCUGCCGAUUUGGAGGCUUUUUCUAUGGAAUCGGACCCGGUGACUUUGCAGCCAUGGCGCGGUCGCCUCUCUUUUGCCCGACCUCUCUUUGCAGAUCUGAGCCUUGUAAGUACUGUGAAAUAGAAAAGUCUGAAACUUGGAGCUUGUUUGGCUAAGCUUAUAAGCUUGUUAAAUUGGCUUAUAACCACUUUUUGACUUUAUGUACGGAUUUGGCAAGGGCUUAUAAGCCAAAAAUAAGCUAUAAGCCAACUCUUGUUAUAUCCUAUUCUUUAGCUUCUUAUUAUUAAUUUCAGCACAUUUUAAAGCUUUUUUGUACCUAACGUUAUCAGUUACUCUAAACGGGCUCUUAUUCUUUUUUUGAAUUUCAACUAUUUUUUGCUACUAAGCAUGGAAUCAAGUUAUACGUCAGUGGGCAAAACAAGAAUUGUUGAUGCUUUAAAUGGUUCUCUUUGACGCGAAGCAGGAAACUAAAAUAUCAGAGACAAAGAAUGAGGUAGCAGAGAGUAGAGGAAAGUUCAAGGGCAGCUGCUCCUCUGAGCUACAAUACCUAUGAGUUCAUUUUUGCCAUAAAUGCCCUUCUGCAGUAAACUAUGUCACCACUCUACUCUAUCGCCAAAUCCUCACUCCCAAAAAGAGAAUCAAUAGAAGUAGUAACAAUACUCCCUCCGGUCCACAAUAAGUGUGUUUAAUUUUUGAUUUUGGUCCAAAAUAAGUGUCUUGUUAGGUAAUCAAGAAAAAAUUUAAUUUGUAAUUUGUUUUCUCUUUUACCCUUAUGCGCAUAUCCCUAAAAAAAUUUCUCUCUCGUCACAUUAGCUUACUAAAUAAGUGUAGUUUAGUUAUACUAGGUAAUUUUGUAUAGGAUUUAGUAUUUUCUUAAUGAUGUGUUAAAAGUAAAAUAGACAUUUAUUGUGAACCGGAUGGACUAUGGAGUAAUUAAUAAUAAUUGUAGCAAAAAUCUGAGGCUAUGAUGAUAGUUUUUAUUCGGUCUCUGAGCAAAUUGAUCAAGGCAGGAGAACAAUCGGACCUGUAACUUGGCGGGGCGACCCGGACGGUGACGACUUGCAACGGUGUUUGCAGCCAUGGCAGUGUCUCCAAUCUCUUGCCUCAGCCUUAAUAUUACGGAUCUGAGCCUCAAUUGGAAGGUUAUUAUCUUAAAUGCAGACAUAUGAGCUCUUUUCCGUUAAAUUUUGAAAUUCGCAGGUGAAAAACCCUCGAGAAUUUCCCCUAAAAAUGCAAUAAGGUUAACUGAGAAAGAAAUGAGGCAAAACAGAGAGUAUUGGGAUUUUCAUUAGAAGGGUGGUUGCCCCUCUCUGUUCGCCAUUGAUUUUCCUUCAUUUUUCAGGAAAAAAACCAACAGCUCUUGUUUAUGACAGAAGUAGACAGCGUUUGGACAUAAGAAUUGUGAAAUUUCAGAAAAAUGUAAUUUUUUUCCCAGUGAAAUCUGUGUUUACUGUGUGUGCGUGUGUGUUUAUGUUGCUGAUGGAAGUUACAUAAAGAGUGUGCAUGAUGAUGUUUCUUGUAUCUGGGCUGACCGAUCGGGGCAUAGAGAUGACCCAACCUCUAUCUUGGUGUGGCAACCCGGUAUGGCAUGUGAUUGAGAUUUCUGUCUCUCACUUGUAAUUGGUGUUUUGCAGCCAUGGCGUAGCUGACUUCUCUUUUCCUUAUAUAACACAUUCAUGAUAAGCCUACUAUAGCAUGGACCAAGUUGUAAAUAAAUACACACCUGGUUCUCUUUGACACAAAGCAGAAAACUAAAAGCUCAGAGACAGAAUGAGGGUUGCAGAGAGUAGAGUGAAGCUCAAGGGCAGCUGCUCCUCUCUGCCAUUCCUGUGAUUUCAUUUUUGCCAAAAGUGCCCUUCUGCAGUAUACUCUAACCAAACGACCCCUUAAGUAUUUCGAUUGGCUGUUACUGUUCUAUCUGCUUAUCAUCUCCAAAUCCUCACUCCAAAAAGAGAAUCAAUAGUAAUAAUAAUAAUAGUUGUAGCAAAAACCUGAGGCUGUGAUGAUAAGAAUGGAAUGCAAAUGCUCAAAGAUAUAAAUUGGAAUCAAUAGUAAUAAUAAUAAUAGUUGUAGCAAAAACCUGAGGCUGUGAUGAUAUUUUUCUUCUGUCUCUGAGCAAACCGAUUAGGGCAAGAAACAAUCGAACCCGUAUCUUGGCGGGGCAACCCAGACGGUGACGUCUUGCAGCCAGUAUUUGCAGCCAUGGCGAUGUCUCCAAUCUCUUGCCUUAUCUUCAAAUGUUACAGAUCUGAGCCUCAAUUGGAAGGUUAUUUUCUUAAAUGCAGACUUAUGAGCUUUUUUCCGUUAAAUUUUGAAAUUUGCGGGUGAAAAACCCACGAGAAUUUCUUCUAGAAUUGCAAAAAGGUUAGCCUAGAAAGAAAUGAGGCAAAACAGAGAGUUUUGAGAUUUUCAUUAAAGGGAUGGUUGCCCCUCUCUGUUCCGCCAUUGAUUUUCCUCCAUUAUCAAAAAAAACCAACACCCCUUUGUUUAUGACAAAAGCAAACUGGUAAAGUUGCCUCUAUAUGACCAGGAGGUCGUGGGUUCGAGCGAUAAAACAACCUCUUGCAGAAAUGUAGGGUAAGACUGCAUACGAUCCCUUGUGGUCCGGUAAUCCCCUUCUGGUAAACCCUUGAUUAAGCGCUUGCUUUUUUUUUUUUUCUCAAAUGCCAGCUACCAUCUUCAUAUUUAUUUCCAUAUAAUUAUGAAUGUCAAAAUGAUGUACGAUUCCGAUGUGAUAAAAGUUGGAUGUUGUGAUGGUAUACUAGUUAGUCUAUUAUUACCAUUAUUCUUAUUGUUAUUAUAAUGGAUGAGGCUGUGAUGAUUAAGGUUAUCUAGAGUUCGCGUCGGGGCAAUGGAGCGGCCCGUAUCUUGGUGGGGUGACCCGGAAAGGCCUAUUUUUAUAGUGCGACCGAGGUUUGCAGCCCUGGCAUUUGCUUUGUCUUCUUUUCCCUGAUUUUAUCACAGUUUUGAGCCUCAAAAUUGAGGGGUUUAUUUGGCCCUUUCCCCUUUUAUAAAUGGACGGAGGCCAAAAAUUUUAGGUUUUUUGUGUAUAUUGAAGGACCAUAAUAAACCUCCUCAAAGAUGACGGAUCAUUUUUCUCAAGAGAAGUGUACGCUUCUUACGUACUGUACGGACAACAACAUCAACAACAACCACCUAGUAUAGUCCCACUUAGUGGGUCUGGGUAGUGUAGCGUAUACGCAAACCUUACGCCUACCUGGGUAGAGAGGCUGUUUUCAAUAGACCCUCGGCAUCCUUCCCUCUCAGAACUUCCCACCUUGCUCUUGGGGUAACUCGGACUAUUUGAUUAUUUUCUGGAAAACCUGCUAUAUUACCCUCCAUUUGAACUGGAUUAGCCCAGAAAUGGAGAGAAUGAGUCAAGAGAGUGUAUGGGAUUGUUUUUACAAGGGUGGUUGCCCGUCUCUGCUUUGCCUGUGAUUCUCCAACUUUUAAAACAAACCAACAGCCCCUAAAAUAGAAAAAAGAGAAAGAGAUGAUAGCACUUCAGUUUCCUGGGUUUCUUUGCAUUUUUGCACCCUAAAUGCAUACUCAAAACCCAAUACAUACAACCCAUAUACACUAAGAACUAUUUUGAUCAUUUUCUUGAAAACCUUCUAUAUUAGUAUAGAAAUGGCGAGAAUUAGGUAACAGAGAGUACAUGAUUUUUUUACAAGGGUGGUUGCCCCCUCUCUGCUUUGCCUAUGAUUCUCCUUUUCUAAACAAACCAACCGCCCUUAAAAAGAAAGAAGAAUUGGGGCAUGGAGAUUACCGCCCUUACACCCGUAAUGGAACUCAAAGACCCAAUACUGACAACUAUACUACACAACUAUGCGACUUUCAGAUCUUAAUAGAGGCAGUGAUUAUGAUGAUUCUUUUCUAUUUCUGGGCUAACUAAUUGGGGCAUGGAGAUUACCUGACCAGUAUCUUGGUGUGGCAGCCUGGUAUGGCCUGUGAAUGAGACUCUUCUCUCACACAUGCAACCGGUGUUCAAUGUUUUGCAGCCAUGGCAUGGUUGGCUUCUCUUUUGCCUUUCCAUGACACAAAUGAUCUUCUGGGGGAUGAGCUUGUGAUGAAAUGU